GACGAACGCUGGCGGCGUGCUUAACACAUGCAAGUCGAACGGAAAGGCCCUGCUUUUGUGGGGAGCUCGAGUGGCGAACGGGUGAGUAACACGUGAGUAACCUGCCCUUGACUUUGGGAUAACUUCAGGAAACUGGGGCUAAUACCGGAUAGGAGCUCCUGCUGCAUGGUGGGGGUUGGAAAGUUUCGGCGGUUGGGGAUGGACUCGCGGCUUAUCAGCUUGUUGGUGGGGUAGUGGCUUACCAAGGCUUUGACGGGUAGCCGGCCUGAGAGGGUGACCGGCCACAUGGGGACUGAGAUACGGCCCAGACUCCUACGGGAGGCAGCAGUGGGGAAUAUGGCACAAUGGGCGGAAGCCUGAUGCAGCAACGCCGCGUGCGGGAUGACGGCCUUCGGGUUGUAAACCGCUUUCGCCUGUGACGAAGCGUGAGUGACGGUAAUGGGUAAAGAAGCACCGGCUAACUACGUG
rnacentral:rRNA from 1 species